GGAGAGAUAGCUUAGUGGUUAAGGGCACUGGCUGCUCUUCCAGAGGACCUGGGUUCAAUUCCUAGUCCCUGCC
rfam:Rattus norvegicus chromosome 8, whole genome shotgun sequence.